rnacentral:lncRNA from 1 species
UGCAGCUUUUUCAGUGACAGUGAAAAAAGUGGAAAGUGGGUAAAAUUUGGUAAAAUAUUUUGUUGGGAGAUGAGUGGCAGCACCUCUACGUCAGUGGUGGGGGGAGGGGGGUAUGGGUAUGGUUACCGGCCACCAUUCACGGCAGUGCAAUGGCAGGAGCUGGAGCAUCAGGCAAUGAUAUACAAGUACCUGGUGGCAGUAAGGGGAAAGUGGGUAAAAUUUGGUAAAAUAUUUUGUUGGGAGAUGAGUGGCAGCACCUCUACAUCAGUGGUGGGGGGAUUGGGGUAUGGGUAUGGCUACCGGCCACCAUUCACGGCAGUGCAAUGGCAGGAGCUGGAGCAUCAGGCAAUGAUAUACAAGUACCUGGUGGCAGGUCUACCUGUUCCACCGGACCUCGUUGUUCCAAUUCGUCGGAGUUUUGAAGCCAUCUCUGCUAGG